CUACGGGUUGCAGCAGUGAGGAAUAUUGCACAAUGGGGGGAACCCUGAUGCAGCAACGCCGCGUGGAGGAUGACGCAUUUCGGUGUGUAAACUCCUUUUAUAUGUCAAGAAAAUGACGGUAGCAUAUGAAUAAGCACCGGCUAACUCCGUGCGCAGCAGCCGCGGUAAUACGGAGGGUGCAAGCGUUACUCGGAAUCACUGGGCGUAAAGGACGCGUAGGCGGGUUGGAAAGUCAGGUGUGAAAUCCUACAGCUUAACUGUAGAACUGCACUUGAAACUUCUAAUCUAGAGUAUGGGAGGGGGAGAUGGAAUUAGUGGUGUAGGGGUAAAAUCCGUAGAUAUCACAAGGAAUACCUAAAGCGAAGGCGAUCUCCUGGAACAUUACUGACGCUAAGGCGUGAAAGCGUGGGGAGCAAACAGGAUUAGAUACCCUCGUAGUC
rnacentral:rRNA from 1 species